rnacentral:rRNA from 1 species
CAGCCGCCGCGGUAAUACAGAGGGUGCGAGCGUUAAUCGGAUUUACUGGGCGUAAAGCGUGCGUAGGCGGCUUCUUAAGUCGGAUGUGAAAUCCCUGAGCUUAACUUAGGAAUUGCAUUCGAUACUGGGAAGCUAGAGUAUGGGAGAGGAUGGUAGAAUUCCAGGUGUAGCGGUGAAAUGCGUAGAGAUCUGGAGGAAUACCGGUGGCGAAGGCGGCCCCCUGGACAAAGACUGACGCUCAGGUGCGAAAGCGUGGGGAGCAAACAGGAUUAGAUACCCCAGUAGUCCCUGUAUCUUAUAC